AUUGAACGCUGGCGGCAUGCCUUACACAUGCAAGUCGAACGGUAACGCGGGGCAACCUGGCGACGAGUGGGCGAACGGGUGAGUAAUAUAUCGGAACGUGCCCAAUAGUGGGGGAUAGCCCGGCGAAAGCCGGAUUAAUACCGCAUACGACCUGAGGGUGAAAGCGGGGGAUCGCAAGACCUCGCGCUAUUGGAGCGGCCGAUAUCAGAUUAGCUAGUUGGCGGGGUAAAAGCCCACCAAGGCGACGAUCCGUAGCUGGUUUGAGAGAACGACCAGCCACACUGGGACUGAGACACGGCCCAGACUCCUACGGAGGCAGCAGUGGGGAAUUUUGGGACAAUGGGGGAAACCCUGGAUCCAGCCAUGCCGCGUGUGUGAAGAAGGCCUC
rnacentral:rRNA from 1 species